UCUAUUCAUGGUUAAAGUAAAAAUAUACCAAGGAGUAAUAAAGUCGUAUUUAUAUUUCUUACAGACUUAUUUACAUUGUCAUUGUUUAGUAGAUACAGCUGAAUGAAAUAUUAAGAUACUUAUUUGAUUGUCAGUGUCGAAGGUUUCAAUGGAAAAAUUACAAUGCCAGAGUGUACUAAGAAAAGCAAAUUACAAAGAAAUUACUAUUGCACGAUCGACUGAGUAUAUUACGGGCACUUGUCAUCGCAUUACAUAUUGUCAGUUUAUUCGUGGCAGUGACAUUGGCCAGUGAUAUGGCUACAUUUAUUCGCGUGUACUAACAUUGUUUUCACGCACGUGUAGCAAAAUGAAGGAUGACCAUCGACCAUCGAUAUCAAACAUGACAUUGUUAAUGCGAUCUAUAUAAAUAAACGGUUUAAAGGAAAAAAAAGUUAUCCCCUAUGCUACCACGUUUCAUUAAUAAUAGUAUUUAGAUGUCUGAUGUAAUGGGUACGUUUGUGCGCAAAUACAGAGCGCUGAGAAUUUAAGCACUAAAAAUUCAUUUGAGCUAUAGAUCGUGUAUAUAGGAAAUACAAACGUGCGUGAAUGCUAUAAGUAGUUGCAGCCGGAUCGUAUUGCAAAUCCGCGUAGCGCGAGUGUUACAACAAACCGGUUAGGAUCAUGUUUCACAAGUUUGCAAAGAAAUGGUUGAAAAUUCGGUGCUAUAAUAUUCAUCCUUCCUGAUAUGGUAAUAUGUGGUAAACUCGUCUGGCGUUAUUAUAAUUGUUUUAUUUACAAUUACCCUUGAAAUUUUCUUCCAACUGAAAUGGUACAUUAGACACGAUAUUAUAAUAUACAGUAUGUCACGUCACACGUGCCGAUGAUAUACACGUGCUACUGAAUUAUCGCGGAGAUUGAAAUUGAGGGGACAAUCUGGUCGAAGGCUCGGCAAUUUUACUGAAUAAAAGAUGGACACUAUGAUAUCAGAGAGUGACAUCAUGGCGCGUUAACCUCAGUCCCCAUUUGUACUCAAGUCAGUAGUGGCGAUGCGAAGUCGUCGUACGACGACACCAGUCAAGUCAACCUCCUCAUUCAAUCGUUCUAAAUGUGUUUAUGCAAUAUUUAAGAUACGUCCGCAGAGUCGUUUAUCGCUUCUGAAAAGUUUUUCAAUCAAUUUUUAAAACUUUUGGUUUCCGUUGGCUUCCGUUCUCCGGUUCUUUGUGAUAUCGGAGGAAAUUGGCGCGGAGAAAGUUGAAGAAAAUUCGCGCGGUACCCUCGACAUUGAAUGGUGGAAGAACGACGGUCGAAAGGGUCGAACGAUUAAAGAAUUCCUUGGAUCGAAUCUGGCCUCGGAUAUGGCUCUCUGUCUGACUUUGUCAGCUAUUAAUAGUCAGCGGUGUCGAAGAGGUGUAUGUAUAGUAUGUACUAUCUUUUCUACAACCUCCGUUUAGUUGUUUUCUUCUGCAUGCCACGCUACAUAUAAUUGCCUGGCAAGCUGUUUCGCUUCUGUCUCCUUGUCUGGCAUAACAAUGUAAUUAUUCAACGAAUUGUGUCGCACGAGUAACUCAAUUUCGACAUAAGCUGGAAGCUUAAGAAAUUGGCUCUUUUAAAUGCGUGGUAAAAAUCGUUUUUCGAAGCAAAGUUACGAGACAUGCUCGUUUUCUGUUUUAAUCUGUUCUUAGAUUCAGAUUCUCUAAAUAUUUUCUAUUAUUCGAGUAAAAAUUCCUCUUCGAAGCGAAAGUAAAUAAAUUUCAUUUAAUCGUGGUUAACGUUGUACAGGCUACUGAAACUUUAUGACCCUUCUUUCAGGGGAUACCAAACGAGUCAGUGUACAAUGUGUAUCUAUUAACAAUCCAAUAUAUAUAUAUAUAUA